UUAUAAGAGGUCAUGCCUGCCCAGUGACUCUGUUCAACGGCCGCGGUAUCCUAACCGUGCGAAGGUAGCGUAAUCACUUGUUCUUUAAAUGAGGACUAGUAUGAAUGGCCCCACGAAGGCUACACUGUCUCCUUUUUCUAAUCAAUGAAACUAAUCUUCUCGUGAAGAAGCGAGAAUAAUUUUAUAAGACGAGAAGACCCUAUGGAGCUUUAAACAACUGAAAUAUUUGCUUUUAUAUUCCAUUCUCCAGAGUUCACUAUUAUAUCCAAGCAUUUUAAUUUCUAGUUUUAGGUUGGGGUGACCACGGAGUAAAAUUCAACCUCCAUGACGAACUAAGCAUUUUUCCUCUAAGCCACAAGCUACCUCUUUAAGCAUCAACAAAUUGACUUACAUUGACCCAAUAUUUUGAUCAACGAACCAAGUUACCCUAGGGAUAACAGCGCAAUCUACUUCAAGAGCUCAUAUCGACAAGUAGGUUUACGACCUCGAUGUUGGAUCAGGGUAUCCUGGUGGUGCAGCCGCUACUAA
rnacentral:rRNA from 1 species